UGCCCAGGCUGUAAUUUUAAUUUCCCUUGGAUGCUUGGCAAAGCCCUUCUGGGGGAGCCCUAGUGCCUGGCAUGAGCGGAGCGGGCUUCCAGGGAGGUAUUCACCUGGUCAGCGUCAGGAACCAUCCUCCCUGAAGCCUCGGCUCCCUCUUUCCCUUCGGUUGCCGUGGAUGUGCCGGACACCUCUGGCAGGACUAACCCUGUGGCUUUUAUGUCCAACGUGCUGUGUGCCUGCAGGUAAGAAAAGCUGGGAGUGCAGUCCCUCUGCUUUGCUUGCUGUGUCUCUUGGGUAGUGAUUUUGGAGGGGAAUCCCAGAGCGAUUUGGUUUGAAGGGGACCUUCAAAGGCCACCCUGUCUUCCGUGGGCAGGGACACCUUCCCCUCUCAUCCCCGGUUGCUCCAAGUCCCGUCCAGCCUGGCCUGGAACACUUGCAGGGAUCCAGGGGCAGCCUCAGCUUCCCUGUGCAGUGUGCUCUAAUAUCUCUCCACUGGCAUCCUGAAAAAUGUUGUCAGCGUGUUUUGUUGGACGACGGUAAGCGGGACCUGGGUGAAAAGGACAUUCUCUGAGGUGCUGGGAGAAGGAGGGCUCGUGCGGGCACCUCCAGAGACAGUGGGAACGGGAGCGUGCUGCAGAGAAGGAAAAUUCCAGGGGGUGGGUGCCAAGGAAUUUGUCCUUCCCUUGCUCUGUGCUCUGCACUUAGCAAUGGGUCAAGUGCAGAAGUUUCCUGGGGACCCUGGAAAAUGAUGCCGGGUCUGCUAAGAAAAGUGGGGCCAAAGGAGCAGGACCUGGGUCUGCGAGCGUGGGAGAAACAAGGGCCGGGUCAUCCUCUGCCUCCAGGAGGGAGGGCAGCAGGAAAGGCCACGGACUAAAGCACUGAAGUGCCGUUCCCCAGGGAGCCCCUGCCCAGCACUGAACUUGCUUGUGCACUUGCUGUCCCUUUCCCAGCGGAGCCGAAGCGUCGGGUGCGGGUGCCGGGGGGAUGGAGCUGCCAAGGACAAACUGGGAGGGUGUUUGCGAAGGAAGGGGGUAGAAGGAGCUCUUGACGUGCUUUUUUUACUUCUUCAUCCCACAGAAUUGCCACGAGAGGAAAUACUUCAGAGGGGCUUCCCUCCAGAUAAGCCCUGAAUGUGCCAGGAGGUUUCAGCCGGGAGAAAGGAGCUGUGGAAGAAAAGCAGCCUAAAAAUAGCCAGCGGGGAUCAUCAGGUUUUCCAGCCAAGAAAAACCAGGAGGGAGAUGAGGGAAUCGGGUUCCAAUUCCUAAAGAUUUGGUGGGUGUAGGAAUGAUUUCUGUGUGUUUUCCAGUCCCUUUUGAUUCCUGGGAUGAUUUUAAAAUGAUGGCUAAAUUGGAGAUGUUGUUUUUGAGAGGAAAUGAUGCCAAAUAAAUGCAAAGUUUGGGGUCAGUUUU